rnacentral:lncRNA from 1 species
AUAAGAAGCAAACAGCCAUAUAUCAACAUUUUUUCGUAAAUGAUACCAAGAUAAGAGGUUUACAGGGACAUCCAGCUGCAUCCAGAAGUCUCCAGCCAUUGUCCUGAACCUGUAGUCACCUGGAUUCCAGGAAAGGCAGAGUUCUACAUGAUUGAGAUCACCACAGAGACAAUCCUUUCCUAGGAAUACCAUCCCUCAGCCUUAAAGAUUACAGAACUAUGACGCCAGGACUGAGAUAAUGAUCAGUGGGACCCCAGGUUUCAGUUAAUCCUUGAAAAACUGGCCUCCUGCCUUUGCAAGGCAGUGGGUGUGAA